rnacentral:lncRNA from 1 species
GGUGAUUAGAGAAACUAUUUGAAGUUUCACAAUCAGAACAGCUGGCCCAGAGAUGACAGAAGAUGAUGCUGAGUUUUAUGAAGCAAAUGCAAAAUAUUUCUUACAAAAUGGAAAUGACGGCUGGCAUUUGGCUACUGUGGACAAUGAGGACAAAUACAAUCUACGAAGAAGGAAGGGAAAGCCUAGAAUCACUGCAUUCUGGGCAGCGCCUCUGAGAAAC